CCUACGGGGGGCUGCAGUGGGGGAUAUUGCACAAUGGAGGCAACUCUGAUGCAGCGACGCCGCGUGAGCGAAGAAGGCUUUCGAGUCGUAAAGCUCUGUCCUAUGGGAAGAUAAUGACGGUACCAUAGAAGGAAGCCCCGGCUAACUACGUGCCAGCAGCCGCGGUAAUACGUAGGGGGCGAGCGUUGUCCGGAAUUAUUGGGCGUAAAGGGUUCGUAGGCAGUAAUACGUGUCAGAUGUGAAAUCUUGUGGCUUAACCACAUCAAGCAUCUGAAACUGUAUUACUUGAGUAAAGGAGAGGUAAGUGGAAUUCCUAGUGUAGCGGUGAAAUGCGUAGAUAUUAGGAAGAAUACCAGUAGCGAAGGCGACUUACUGGCCUUUAACUGACGCUGAGGAACGAAAGCGUGGGUAGCAAACAGGAUUAGAUACCCCGGUAGUC
rnacentral:rRNA from 2 species